rnacentral:lncRNA from 1 species
AUUCUUAAUGAGUAAUACUUCAAUACACCAUGUAAAUUUUGAUCAUUUAUUUUUUUAAAUAGAUGGUUGAUAUGUAAUAUGAUUCUAAAGACGAGACCUACUAUUCAGGCAUAGUUACCGUUCACCAGGUACGUAUUUAAAGGAUAUUUUGAUCUUAGAAAAAUAUUUUGGUCUACAAAACCGGUUUUAUCCAACUAAGAAUUAAUAUUAUAACCUUCUCAAAUACCUACAACAAUAGUUGGAAUUCAAAUUACAACUAAGCUGUAAAUUUAAAUGCAAAACAACGUAAAAAACUUAAUUAUAAAUCAAAUUCAUCUUUUAAAUAUAAAACACAAAUUUAAAAUAAACUUUCAGAUCAAAUUCAAAAUUUUAAUUUAAAU